rnacentral:rRNA from 1 species
GACGAACGCUGGCGGCGUGCUUAACACAUGCAAGUCGAACGGAAAGGCCCUUCUUUUGUGGGGUGCUCGAGUGGCGAACGGGUGAGUAACACGUGAGUAACCUUCCCUUGACUUUGGGAUAACUUCAGGUAACUGGGGCUAAUACCGGAUAGGAGCUCCUGCUGCAUGGUGGGGGUAGGAAAGUUUCGGCGGUUGGGGAUGGACUCGCGGCUUAUCAGCUUGUUGGUGGGGUAGUGGCUUACCAAGGCUUUGACGGGUAGCCGGCCUGAGAGGGUGACCGGCCACAUUGGGACUGAGAUACGGCCCAGACGCCGACGGGAGGCAGCAGUGGGGAAUAUUGCACAAUGGGCGGAAGCCUGAUGCAUCAACGCCGCGUGAGGGAUGACGGCCUUCGGGUUGUAAAACGCUUUCAGCAGGGGCGAAGCUGGGGGUGACGGUACCUGCAGAAGAAGCACCGGAUAACUACGUG